rnacentral:rRNA from 1 species
GAUGAACGCUGGCGGCGUGCCUAAUACAUGCAAGUAGAACGCUGAAGGAAGGAGCUUGCUCUUUCCGGAUGAGUUGCGAACGGGUGAGUAACGCGUAGGUAACCUGCCUGGUAGCGGGGGAUAACUAUUGGAAACGAUAGCUAAUACCGCAUAACAGUAGAUGUUGCAUGAUAUCUACUUAAAAGGUGCAAUUGCACCACUACCAGAUGGACCUGCGUUGUAUUAGCUAGUUGGUGAGGUAACGGCUCACCAAGGCGACGAUACAUAGCCGACCUGAGAGGGUGAUCGGCCACACUGGGACUGAGACACGGCCCAGACUCCUACGGGAGGCAGCAGUAGGGAAUCUUCGGCAAUGGACGGAAGUCUGACCGAGCAACGCCGCGUGAGUGAAGAAGGUUUUCGGAUCGUAAAGCUCUGUUGUAAGAGAAUAACGAGUGUGAGAGUGGAAAGUUCACACUGUGACGGUAUCUUACCAGAAAGGGACGGCUAACUACGUG